rnacentral:rRNA from 1 species
GACGAACGCUGGCGGCGUGCUUAACACAUGCAAGUCGAACGGAGCGAAUGAAAGCUUGCUUUUAUAAGCUUAGUGGCAAACGGGUGAGUAACACGUAGACAACCUGCCGACAGGAUGGGGACAACAUUCCGAAAGGAAUGCUAAUACCGAACGAAGUGCAGGGGAGGCAUCUCCCCCGCAUGAAAGAUGGCCUCUUUUUAUGCUAUCACCUGUUGAUGGGUCUGCGUCUGAUUAGCUGGUAGGUGAGGUAACGGCUCACCUAGGCGACGAUCAGUAGCCGGUCUGAGAGGAUGAACAGCCACAUUGGGACUGAGACACGGCCCAGACUCCUACGGGAGGCAGCAGUGGGGAAUCUUCCGCAAUGGGCGCAAGCCUGACGGAGCAACGCCGCGUGAGUGAAGAAGGUCUUCGGAUCGUAAAGCUCUGUUGAUGGGGACGAACGUGCCUAAUGCGAAUA